rnacentral:rRNA from 1 species
UACGGGGGGCAAGCGUUGUUCGGAAUUACUGGGCGUAAAGGGCUCGUAGGUGGCCAACUAAGUCAGACGUGAAAUCCCUCGGCUUAACCGGGGAACUGCGUCUGAUACUGGAUGGCUUGAGUUUGGGAGAGGGACGCGGAAUUCCAGGUGUAGCGGUGAAAUGCGUAGAUAUCUGGAGGAACACCGGUGGCGAAGGCGGCGUCCUGGACCAACACUGACACUGAUGAGCGAAAGCCAGGGAGCAAACGGG